CCUACGGGAGGCAGCAGUGAGGAAUAUUGGUCAAUGGACGAGAGUCUGAACCAGCCAAGUAGCGUGAAGGAUGACUGCCCUAUGGGUUGUAAACUUCUUUUAUAUGGGAAUAAAACGUUCCACGUGUGGGAUUUUGUAUGUACCAUAUGAAUAAGGAUCGGCUAACUCCGUGCCAGCAGCCGCGGUAAUACGGAGGAUCCGAGCGUUAUCCGGAUUUAUUGGGUUUAAAGGGAGCGUAGGUGGAUGGUUAAGUCAGUUGUGAAAGUUUGCGGCUCAACCGUAAAAUUGCAGUUGAAACUGGCAGUCUUGAGUGCAGUAGAGGUGGGCGGAAUUCGUGGUGUAGCGGUGAAAUGCUUAGAUAUCACGAAGAACUCCGAUUGCGAAGGCAGUUCACUGGACUGCAACUGACACUGAGGCUCGAAAGUGUGGGUAUCAAACAGGAUUAGAUACCCCUGUAGUC
rnacentral:rRNA from 1 species